GUGAAUCAUCAAAUCUUUGAACGCAAAUUGCGCUUCUUGGUAUUCCGAGGAGUACACAUGCUUCAGGAUCAAUUAAAAAAAAUCGUGCAUCAUUUAUUCUGCGGAACUGAGUAUUCCGAUUUUAUAAAUUUUUUAUCUAAAAUUAAUAUGGAUAUGUAAUUUGAUGCGUACUAAUUAUAUAGUCGCUAAUCAUUUAUUCUUAUUACAUUACAACUAUACUAGAGUAUGUAGUUGGUGUAUAAAUUAUGAAAAUUACCUCAAGUCAUGUGAGAUUACCCACUGAAC
rnacentral:misc_RNA from 1 species